rnacentral:ncRNA from 1 species
UAACAGUCGACUCAGAGCUGGUUCGGACAAGGGGAAUCUGACUAUUUAAUUAAAACAAAGAAUUGUGAUGGUCCCUAUGGAUGUUGACGCAAUGUGAUUUUUUCCCAAUGCUCUGAAUGUUAAAGUGAAGAAAUUAUACCAAGCACGAGUAAACGACGGGAGUAAAUAUGACUCUCUUAAGGUAGCCAAAUGCCUCAUCAUCUAAUUAGUGAUGCACAUGAAUGGAUUAACUAGAUUCCCACUAUCCUUAUCUAUUUUCUAGCGAAACCACGACCAAGGAAAUGGACUUGGCAUAAUCAAUAGGGAAAGAAGACCUUGUUGAGAUUGACUCUAGUACGACUUUGUGAAAUGACUUGAGAGGUGUAGAAUAAGUGGGAUUCUUUUUCAGCACAAAUGAAAUACAACUACUUUUAACGUUAUUUUACUUAUUAUGUGGGGUGGAGAGGGGCAUUUGUUAGAUUAUGAAAGAUUGUGCUCGUUUUACCAUUGACAAUACCCUUGUCACCCAACCAUAGGCCGAAGCCACCCUCCAAGCACCUUGACCUUGACAGAGAAUAAUAUUGGUAGUAAUCAAUAUCCAAGCAAGGCUAAUACACAAAGCAAGAAUAGAAACCAAAGAUGAUCAGAUAGUCCCACCCAGAAACUGGUGCAACACCUUCCCCAGAAACUUGUGCACAACUAGCUCUCUGCAAUUCUGAGAAUGUGUCAAAUGAGAGACUUGCACCCUAUAUUUAUAGUGGUUCUAGCAGACUUACUUGGGCCGACUUCUCCUUUUGGGUACUAAUUAAUUCAUAUUAAUUAUAUUUCUGCAGCCGACAUCUCGUCUAGGGUUUCCUUUACUUCUUUGCUUCCUUCUAGAAUAUUCUAAUCUCGUCAUAGGUCACAAUAGAGGUUCAUACCUUCUGAAGCUACCAUAAUAUCAACACUCCCUCCUAGCUAGGGAGGUAUGG